CCUACGGGAGGCUGCAGUGAGGAAUAUUGGUCAAUGGCCGGAAGGCUGAACCAGCCAAGUCGCGUGAGGGACGACUGCCCUAUGGGUUUUAAACCUCUUUUAUAAGGGAGGAAUAAAUGCUACGGUUAGCAUUAUGCCUUUACCUUAUGAAUAAGCAUCGGCUAACCCCGUGCAAGCAGCCGCGUUAAUACGGGGGAUGCGAGCGUUAUCCGGAUUUAUUGGGUUUAAAGGGUCCGUAGGCGGUUUUUUAAGUUAGUGGUUAAACGUCGGGGCUUCACCUUGAUUUGCCAUUAAUACUGUAAGACUCGAGUUCAGACGAGGUAGGCGGAAUAAGUUAAGUAGCGGUGAAAUGCUUAGAUAUAACUUAGAACUCCGAUAGCGAAGGCAGCGUACCAGACUGCGACUGACGCUGAAGCACGAGAGCGUGGGUAGCGAACAGGAUUAGAUACCCUGUAGUC
rnacentral:rRNA from 1 species